UACGUAGGGCGCAAGCGUUAUCCGGAAUUAUUGGGCGUAAAGAGCUCGUAGGCGGUGUGUCGCGUCGGCCGUGAAAACCUGCAGCUUAACUGUGGGCUUGCGGUCGAUACGGGCAUCACUGGAGUUCGGCAGGGGAGACUGGAAUUCCUGGUGUAGCGGUGAAAUGCGUAGAUAUCGAGAGGAACACCUGCGGCGAAGGCGGGUAGCUGGGCCGACACUGACGCUGAGGCGCGAAAGCCAGGGGAGCGAACGGG
rnacentral:rRNA from 1 species